GGCUAGUUCGGUCCCUAUCUGCCGUGGGCGCUGGAGAACUGAGGGGGG
rnacentral:rRNA from 1 species